rnacentral:rRNA from 1 species
GCCCUUACUGCUCAGUAACACGUAGUCAACCUGCCCUAGAGACACAGACAACCCCGGGAAACUGGGAUUAAUCCGUGAUAGGUCAUCUCAUCUGGAAGGAGAGAUGGCUUAAAGGGGUGCGAGAGCUUCUUUCUUGUACUCGCUCUAGGAUGGGACUGCGGCCGAUCAGGCUGUUGGUGGGGUAAUGGCCCACCAAACCUGUAACCGGUACGGGCCUUGAGAGAGGGGGCCCGGAGAUGGACACUGAGAGAAGGGUCCAGGUCCUACGGGGCGCAGCAGGCGCGAAACCUUCACAAUGCGCGAAAGCGUGAUGAGGUUAAUCCGAGUGGUCCCCGCUGAGGGGAUCUUUUGUUGGCUCUAGAACGGCCAGUGAAUAAGGGGAGGGCAAGUCUGGUGUCAGCCGCCGCGGUAAUACCAGCUCCUCGAGUGGUCGGGGCGAUUAUUGGGCCUAAAGCAUCCGUAGCCUGUUCUGUAGGUCCGCUGUUAAAUCCAACGGCUUAACCGUUGGCCCGCAGCGGAUACCGCAGGACUAGGAGGCGGGAGAGGUGGACGGUACUCCACGUGUAGGGGUAAAAUCCUUUGAUCCGUGGAAGACCACCAGUGGCGAAGGCGGUCCACCAGAACGCGCUCGACGGUGAGGGAUGAAAGCUGGGGGAGCGAACCGGAUUAGAUACCCGGGUAGUCCCAGCCGUAAACGAUGCGAGCUAGAUGAUCCGGUCGCAAAUCGCGAUCGGAGUGUCGCAGGGAAGCCGUUAAGCUCGCCGCCUGGGGAGUACGGUCG